GACGAACCGUGCGAACGUUAUUCGGAAUCACUGGGCUUAAAGCGCGUGUAGGCGGACGGGCACGUCUGGUGCUGAAAUCCCCCGGCUCAACCGGGGAACGGGCACGGAUACGACUCUUCUGGAGGAACGUAGGGGGACCUGGAACUUCCGGUGGAGCGGUGAAAUGCGUAGAUAUCGAGAGGAACACCUGCGGCGAAGGCGGGUUGCUGGGCUGAUACUGACGCUGAGGCGCGAAAGCCAGGGGAGCGAACGGG
rnacentral:rRNA from 1 species